UACAGAGGAGCCAAGCGUUGUCCGGAUUGACUGGGCGUAAAGCGCACGCAGGCGGAUGCGCGCGUGGGGUGUGAAAUCUGGCCGCUUAACGGCCAGGCGCCAUCCCAUACGGCGCGUCUGGAGUGAUGCAGAGGUCGAUGGAAUUGCCGGUGUAGUGGUGAAAUGCGUAGAGAUCCGGAAGAACACCAGUGGCGAAGGCGGUCUGCUGGGCAGUUGCUGACACUGAGGCGCGACAGCGUGGGGAGCAAGCAGG
rnacentral:rRNA from 1 species